rnacentral:lncRNA from 1 species
GAAGACCCACACGUGGCGACUGGUAUAGCAGAGACCUGUCUUUCCUCCUAGGUACAAGCUAGUAACUCGCUCCAGCUCCGCUGAAUGUAGAGCAUUUCACUGGGAAUCCGACUCAUCCAAAGCUGAAAAGUUAAGGUUUGAUAGGAAAUCCAGGUCCUAAAGAGCUGAUUAAGGAAUGAAGUAGAAGGCAGUAAUUUUGGUGGAAAAAUGCAGGAGAAUAACCCAUAAACUUACAGUACUGAGCAUCCCCCACUGCACUGGCCAGAUGCUGUCUGCUUUCUGAUGCCUCUACUCCCUACAGCAGGAAGAGCCAAACCACCUUGAGGCCAGGCGAUUUGCCCAGGUAAAACCUGCUGGAGAGCAAGGAUUUGACCCCGAAGUGCCCAGUCUUGGGCUGCAGCAGAACAAAGCAGCUCAGGAAGUGCCCUAGAUUUUGGUUACGUCCUCCUAAAGUUCCCAAUCUGAUGGCAGCUUCAUCGCUCUUUGAAAGACCAACCUCGGUGCAACGAAUGAUGUGCAGCUUGCACUGAGCCACAGCUUCUCUGCAAUGCCCCGGAGACCGUCUUCUUGCUGCACCACUGCCAAUGAGCUGGAAGAGAAAAAUCUCCACUUCUUACCCUAAGGGUACCAGGCUCUGCUAAUAGCCGGAGUGAUUUUUCUGCGAGAAGAGAGCCACAGGCUGUGCAGAGAGCGCAGUCAGAGCUGCUUAGAGCAUUCCUGGGACUGGAAACAAAGAUUCAAUUCAUGCUAAGUCUGCUUUGCUAUGAGCUGAGCCCAAGGCUGCUUCUGAGACUUAACGGGGAUGUCCAGUGACCCA